GAAGAAGCUUGCUUCUUUGCUGACGAGUGGCGGACGGGUGAGUAAUGUCUGGGAAACUGCCUGAUGGAGGGGGAUAACUACUGGAAACGGUAGCUAAUACCGCAUAACGUCGCAAGACCAAAGAGGGGGACCUUCGGGCCUCUUGCCAUCGGAUGUGCCCAGAUGGGAUUAGCUAGUAGGUGGGGUAACGGCUCACCUAGGCGACGAUCCCUAGCUGGUCUGAGAGGAUGACCAGCCACACUGGAACUGAGACACGGUCCAGACUCCUACGGGAGGCAGCAGUGGGGAAUAUUGCACAAUGGGCGCAAGCCUGAUGCAGCCAUGCCGCGUGUAUGAAGAAGGCCUUCGGGUUGUAAAGUACUUUCAGCGGGGAGGAAGGGAGUAAAGUUAAUACCUUUGCUCAUUGACGUUACCCGCAGAAGAAGCACCGGCUAACUCCGUGCCAGCAGCCGCGGUAAUACGGAGGGUGCAAGCGUUAAUCGGAAUUACUGGGCGUAAAGCGCACGCAGGCGGUUUGUUAAGUCAGAUGUGAAAUCCCC
rnacentral:rRNA from 2 species